ensembl:lncRNA
AGUGGUUGUGGUGCAUGGGCUCCGUUGCUCCAUGGCUUGUGGGAUCUUCCCAGAUCAGGGAUCAAACCCAUGUCUCCUGCACUGGCAGGAGGAUUCUUUACCACGGAGCCACCAGGGAAGCCUGGAUUCCUCACUUUGGGGUCGUCUUUUGGUUUACUCCUUAUGGAAAAGGGGAAAAAGAGCUUUGUCUUUCCCCAGAGCAGUUUCAUGAUCUUCUGUGACAGCCUGAUUCUUACUGCCUCAACAUGGCAAGUGCUCAUCCAAGUUUCUCAAGAGACCUAUUGAUUCCUACAAUGGAGAAAGAAAUGGCAGCCCACUCCAGUGUUCUUGCCUGGAGAAUUCUUUGGACGGAAGGGCCUGGUGGGCUGCAGUCCAUGAGGUCGCAGAGAGUCAGACAUGACUGAGCCACUGACACACACUGAUUCCUACAAAGGAGGAGCAGGCUUGUGAAGCUGAUUCCCUGUGGUUGAUGAAGUCUCAGUAAAGCUGCUGGUGCCAUAAAAGAUUAUCUUUGGUUACUUACCCAAGUGAGGAAGCCUCUUCUGCUAGCUGCAUUCUUUUGUAUAUAUCCAGGAAGAUCCCACAUGCUGAGGGGCAACUAAACUGUGUAUCACAACUCCUGAGCCCAUGUGCCACAACUCCUGAUGCGAACUCUAAAGCCUGUGCUCUGCAACAGGAGAAGCCACUGCGAUGAGAAGCCCAUACUCUGCAACUAGUAGCCUUCCGCUUGCUGUAACUAAAGAAAGUCUCCAUGCAGCAAGAAAGACCCAGCACAGCCAAAAAUAAAAGAUAUGGGCAUCACAAGAUGCGGAUGGUUGCAAGAACUGUGGCAAGGUUAACGUAAGCUUCACUCUGCCUUCGGAAUUCCAUCUUGUGUUACACAGAUCUGUGAAGUUGCCUGUGGAGACUUAGGAAACUUGGAACAUUUUCAGUUUCACUUGAAAAAUGUGCUACUAUUCUUCAAUCCAUUGACCUAUGGAGGAAAGUAGUGAUGAAUGGAGAGGCAAGAUGAAUGAGAGGAGUGCCUCCCACCCACUGUGUGUGGGCAUCUGUCUGGACCUACACGUAGCCUCUACUAGAAGGCCAAGUGGAGCUGAUGGAAACAUACUAAUGCUCACGGUGCUUACUGUGCCAUGAGUCCCACAUCUCUAACCAGAUACCGCAUGUCUUCUGCUAGCAUCCAUGAAAAUGGUAGCAGGGUAACAAGUUAAAAUCAAAUCUCAAACCUAACAGAAAAGGAAUAAAAGUUUGCUGAAAUGUGUCAAAAAGUACUUGAACCUUUACUGAAGCACUUUUUUUUUUUUUUUCCCUCUGUCUUUCAUAAAG